ACGCUGGCCACUGGCACACUAAAGACAGAAGGAAAUUAUCCAUACAACAGAUAGUUCUACCUCAAGAACCCAGGAAUGUGCUAUAUAUGAAGAAGUUCUCAAUAAAUCUCCAGUCCGAGUUCAUCCAAAAAGUGUGGGCCCGCUGGCCGGACCCCCACAUAGGGUGCCCAACGUGAGGCUUGGACGCAGGAGAAAUUAAUUGAGGGACCCCACCUCCAGAUGCAGAGCUCUGGUUAAUUAAGGAAGAAAGGAUCCAAAUUAUUGUAGUCGUUUUCACGGAUUGUUAAGACUGAUAUAAAUUUAGAAACAAGAAAUGUCCUUAUAACUUCAAGAACUGGGUAAAAAUCUCCGGCAAAAGUUACUCCAAAAAUGUAUCAGCUUAUAAUU